rnacentral:rRNA from 1 species
AGCCUUCUGUUCAUAGGAAGAACGGCAUCUGAAACUGCAGAUCUUGAGUGUAGGAGGGGAGAGUGGAACUUCUGGUGGAGCGGUGAAAUGCGUAGAUAUCAGAAGGAACGUCGGCGGCGAAAGCGACUCUCUGGCCUAUUACUGACACUGAGUGUGCGAAAGUUAGGGGAGCAAACGGGAUUAGAUACCCCGGUAGUCCUAACUGUAAACGAU